rnacentral:miRNA from 1 species
UGAGUUGGUAUGUUUCUGGU